UGAGAUUCUGCUGCUGGUACUAGCUUACAUGGAUAAAGUCCAACUGAUCUAGCUUUACAUUCAGUUUGACAGAAGGUAGCUAAACCACCUCUCUCGAGAACUCCCUCUAGACUGAAGAAGGUAACAAAAGUAAUAAUAAAGCAAAGCAAAAGUGGGGAGCGGCAAGUUGUCCACAAGCCCACGAGCCCAAUUACAGAGAUGAGAAAGCCCGUGCUGCUGGUACAGCAGCAACAUUCAUU
rnacentral:lncRNA from 1 species